CAUAAUUGGCAAUUUGUCCAGUCAUCACCGUGAGCUUGUCUUCGCUCUUCCCUACUCCAUUACAAAUCCUGUCGCUCCGGUUUAGAACCCUUUAGCCUUCCCAGUCCCGAUGUAAAUAGGAACUAGCUGCUUGCUAGUCAUCGCCUUAGAAUCCCCUGCUUCAGAGAGCCCCUAUCCAUCUCUGGGAUGUACUGUUCCUUGUGUACCCUCCAGCCUGUGCUGGCUUCCAGGUCACACUCAUUUCCUCUAAGAUGUUAGCACUUGCCUAAGCAUCAGAUUAACUAUCUGAAGGAAUCAAAUACUAUUAAGUAUAUGUUGGAGACCUUCUCAAAUCAGUUCAUAUGCUAAUAUGGUAUAGUAUAGUCAAAUAACAUGUAAUGUGCUUUAUUUAGUUUUUGAAACAGAAUCUGGCUACAUAGCCCAGACUAGCUUUGAACCUAAGGUUAUCUUGCAGCUUCCUUAGUGCUAUUUAUAGGCCUGUAUCACCACACCAAGUAUCAGUUUCUAUUAUUUUUAUUUACUUCUUUUGAGACAGGGUAUCAUGUAGACCAAGCAAGCUAAGAAUGACUUUAAAUUCCUAGCCCUAUACCUCCACCUCCCAUGUCCGGAUUAUAGAAUUUAUGUAGUGCUUAUGUAGCCCAGGCUGGCCUCAGAGUUAGCGCUGUUCUUGCCCAGUUGCUCAAAUGCUGGGAUUAUAGGUGUAAGGCACCAUUCUUGUUUUGAAGAUGAUUUUUUAAAAUUAAUUUAUGUGUAUGGGUGUUUGGGCUACUUGUUAUAUCUGUGUAUCACAAGGGCGUGGGACCCACUAGAACUGUAACUCCCAAGUCCUGCGGGAAGCGUGCCACUGCUGCUGAUACAACCAAAAAGUUUCCUCACAGCCUGUAUGGCAUUGUCUGUCACAGCCUUGCUCGUUUCUCCAAGCCUGCACUGUCAUGUUCUUCCAGCUUCUUGAGUUUUCUCAGACUUUUCUCAUACAGUUCUCAGCCUUUGAUUUUUACCAGCUCCUUAUCCCAACUUUCCCCCUAAUUUUCCUUUCUUCUUAAGCUGUCAACCGCCAUUAUUUUUUCCUUUGUACAGAUGCAUUCUUUGUGGUUCUGCUGAUAUUCAAAAGAGCUGUUAAUCACAACCUAUCUACUUGAAUGUUAUUUCUCUGCCCCUCUGCUUCUGAUUAUCCACAUUCCAUGGAGUAUGUUUGUAUUGCUUACUUUUGGUGUCUAGGACUGAGUAAAUACUUGGGAAGUGCUCAAGUGAACAUGUCAUCAAUUUAUUUGGGGAGAAAAUAGAAGCACAAAGAAGUUGGGGGUGCGGGCUUGCUGCCAAGCCUGAUGAUCUUAGUUCGAGCCUUAUGAUCCACUUGAACAAGUCCUCUGUCCUCCACACACACAUCCUUGUGCCUACCUCUGCCACAUACAAAAUUUUAGAAUUGUAACUUUUUUCAAAAGUCAGGAUUUCCUGCCUUCCAGGAGUAACUAAAAAAAAAAAAAAAAAAACAAAACAAAAAAAAAUGCAGUUGCUACAAAAGGGAGAAAAAAAAAAAAACAAACCGGCAAUAUUUGGCAUGUGGUGGCCAGAAUAUAAGCUUGUCAUUCAGUGGCCUGCAUGUUUCCAUAAAUUAUAUCUAUUUUAGGUUAAUGAAUCCCACUAAUCAUUUUAAUAUGACAUUGUAGGACUUAAAAAAAAAUAGACCUCAUUAAUCCCAGCAUUCCAGGCCAGACCUGUUUUUUGUUUUGUUUUAAUUUUUAUGUGUAUGCAUGUGUGUAAGAAUCCACAGAGAUUGGAAGAGGGUGCCUGUAAGAUUCCCUGGAACUGGAGUUACAGGCAAUGUGAACCUGGUGUGACUACAAGGAGCCACACCAGGCCUCCGUAAGAGCACAGUGCUCUUAGCUCUCGAGCCACCUCUUCAGCCUGACUUCAGUGUUUAAAUGCUCAUCUACACACGGGACAUCCUAGUAAAGGACAUCAGCAGUUUUAGGCAACAGCAGUAAAAGCCCCAAAUGGCUAAUAGAAGUCUGUCUACACAUCAAUAAUGUAUUAUUUGGGUUGAGCUGGACCAGUGUCUGUGCUGUGGACCAGUUUACAUACUUUGGAAGGCAAAGAGUGCUGGACCUAUAUAAAAAGCAGGCUCAGAAUUUCAGAGGAAAAGGCUAGGUCUUGGGACCCAUAAGCCUACAACUCUCAGAAAGUGCUGAUAAGCCAGGUAGUAACAUGAUGUAGCUGUUGCCCUCUUGAGCUGUCAGCAGGUGAAAUUAUCCAGACUGGCCCAGUUAGGCUCCUGACUUUGUCCUAUGGAGAGAGGAAGGCAUUCAUGAAUACCUACCCAUCCCUAAGAUUUACCACCAGUUAACAGCUACUGGGAGAUGUUUUUCUUCAGUGUCAUAACUUCACGUAAGUUGUCCACGCUCCUAACCUCAGUUAAACCAACUGCUUCACCAGCUAGAUUUUAGUCUGUCAUUGUCAUUAGAUGUUAGUCUUCCCGGGAAAAUUUCGUACAACAGAGCAGUCUGGCUUUAACAUGUGAUGCUCCUGCCUUGGCCUCAUGCGUUAGGUGCGUGCCACCAUACCUGCCUGGUGUUUUUAAAAUCUUUAUUACAUUUAUUAGAGACUGUAUAAGAGUGUCACAGUACAUGUGUGGAGGGGAGCUGGUUCUUCCAUUUGGGUUCUAGGGAUCAAAAAGCACCUUUCCAGGAGCCAUUUCCACUACCUCACUUUGUUUUCUUAAAAAAAAAAAAAAAAAAAAAAUCAUUACAUUUUGAGGUUGGAGAGAUAGUUCAGUGGUUAAGAGUAAGAAGUGUUCACAUACCAGGUUUGGUGGCACAUGCCUGUGAUCUCAGCACUCAGGGAGACAGGCCAGCCUGGCCUACAAAGCUAGUCCAGGAUAGCUAAGACUACACAGAGAAACCCUGUCUCAGAAAACCAAGUGGGAAAAAAAUGUUCAUGCAGAGGACCUGAGUUCAGUUCCCAGCACCCAAGACAGGCAGCUCAAAACUGCCUCUAGCUGCAGCCCCGGAAGAUCCCAUACCCCUGGCUUCCACAGGCACCUGUAUUCAUGUGCACAUACCCACAGAGACACACACAUAAAUAGUAAGAAUAAAUCUUUAUUACAUUUGAUGUUUUAUAAAGCAUUUUGGAAGUAAGAGGUGAAAACAGUGUUGGGACGUGGAUUCAGCUGAUUUCGGGUCUACACUUUUGGCCAUUCUCCAACAGAACCUGAAGUCCCAGAAAGACCAGUGGCCACCUUUGCAUGGUACAAUUGCAGGUUUUUUUCUUUUCUUUUCUUUCUUUCUUUAUGUCUGUCUGUCUGUCUUUCUUCUGUGCUAGGAACUGAAUUCAGGGCCUCACACAUAUGAAACAAUCAUUGUACCACUGACCUACAGCCAACUUUUUUCCCCCCUUUUGGUUAAAAAACACAGAGGAAAUCUCAGCACUCAGGGCAGGCCUGGGCUACAUAGUGAGUGCCAGAGCAGCCAAGACUACAGUAGGAGACACUGUCACAAAGUGCAACCUUCACUUUUUGAAAAGAAACUUAAGGUCUAGAAAGAUUAUUCCAAGAACAGUUAAUGUAAUACUUUUGUGUGGUUUGGUGGUGGUUUUGGGAUACAGGGGUAUUACAGUGGCACGCUCAUCCAGGAGAAUGAGGCAGAAGGAUGAAGAGUUUUAAGACCAGCCUGACCUACACAGGGAGAAAAAUAAACCGACCAAACAAGUGUGUAUCCCGGAACUAGCUCCAACCCUCCAUUCUUACCCUGAGUGAGACUGUCUAACCGUGUGGGGUGCUUUUCUUCAGGUCAGCUCCUCUUUGCUAGUGAUUUCAGGGUUCUUUUUAUUGUUAUCUGAGACCAUCCUGAACUUGCUCUGUAGACCAGGAUAACCAUAAACUCAGAGAUCCCAUGCCUCUGCCUCCCAGGUGCUGGAAUAAAGGUGUGCGCCACCAUGCUCAGCUAGACUCCUUGUUCACAAUGGAUCAAAUAUCCUGCAACACCUCAUUUGUUUUUGGAGACAGGGUUUCUCUGUGUAGUCCUGGCUGUCCUGGACAGCUUUGUAGACCAGGCUGGCCUUGAACUCACAGAGAUCCACCUGUCUCUCCUUCCCCCAGUGCUGGGAUUACAAGUGUGCACCAUUGAGCCCAGGUGACUUCCUCAUUUUUAAUGAAUAUCUACAAGCAGGCUGACUAUGAUGUCUCUACUUGAGAUCUGACAAUGUAGCAGAAGGCAACUGUGCUGAAGAACUACUACAAAAUUCUCAACAGGUUGUGGAGGAGUACUUUGUGGCCCCCCCAGGUAACAUUUCUUUGCCAGACACGGCAAAUAAGAUU